AUUAUCCAAGAGAAAAUGCGUGAUUUUUGGGUGAAAUGGGGUAAUUUUGAAGGGAAAUGUAUUAUUUUGGGGCUAAAUGGGAGAUUUCCGAAGAAAAUUGUGUUUUUAUCAGGUUAAAUGGGGGAUUCUCGAAGAGAAAAUGCACUAUUAAGGACUUGGGGGGUGUGAUGGAAGGGAAGGCGAGCGAUAGAAAAGAUAGAACGAGGCAAGAAUUACGUAAAGCGGGGGAUAGUCACCACCAGGAUCUGGCAGCAGUCCCGUUGCACGAUAUUCCGAUGGUCCGAGGCCGAAGGGCAGGAGCAGCGAGGCCGGUCUUGGCAACGAGAGGGUGCGGGUCAGGGAGAAGCAGCAGCGUCUCACUAGCGGCCAGUGGAAGUCCGUCAGCAAACGUCCGUAGAGUAAGGAUCUGAGGCUGAGUCGUGGUGAGAGAUCAGCCUCCACGUUGCGGUGAGAGAUCAGUCUCCACGUUGCGGUGAGAGAUCAGAUGCAGAGAACCCCUCAAGUCUGUCGUGGUGAGAGAUUAAGUCUCUACCUUGCCGUGGUUGUUGGACCCUCU
rnacentral:lncRNA from 7 species